GGAGUGGAGGGUUCUCUUCCUCCUCUACACAUACCCAAAACAUGAGAGCUCUUUCUCUUAAACCCUCACCUCUAGCUCUCUCUCUCUCUCUAGCAAUUUCUCCAUUAAAGAGAAGAAGUUGGAGGAGAUUAAGUUGGAGAAGAAGCUUGGUGGUGAAGCAAGCUCUCCAAUGGUGGACAAGCUUCUUUCCCGAUGUGGCCAUUGAUAAUUCGACGCGGAGGACAACUUCGUUUUGGAUUACGACGAGGUUACGGCGUCCGAUUGAGAGAUUUGCGGAAUUUGGUUCGUUAGGCUUGGGUCGAGCUAAAACAGCAACGGUAAAUUGCGGGACUUGAUUUCUCGCUUAUUGACGUCGAUAUGAGUACUAUGUCUUAUUGGAUCUAGUGGGAAAGUCGGCGAGGUCGGCGGCCGAACCCACUGGGAACUUCUUUUAGUUCUCACCCCCUAUUGUUGCAGAGCCACCAUUCGUAGAGCGGCACCGGAUCGAGGCGUGGGCGUUGUGCCCUAGAUAGCAGGGUUACCCCAUUUAGGUCGCCCUAUGUACAAGCAAAAGAAUGUAAAAGUUUAUUAGAAAUGUAAUUUGGAAUGUAAUUGUAUUUUGGAGGAAUCAUUCUUGUAUCAAUGUAAAAUGAGAAA